rnacentral:rRNA from 1 species
CAUUACACAAAAUAGGAAGCNGGACGGGGGACCAGGGCCUCGCUGCCCUGCCCGUCUGGCGCCAUAUUCACCCAUGUCUUUUUGCGUACUACUUGUUUCCUUGGCGGGUCCGCCCGCCAAUUGGACCUUGAUUAAACCUUUUUUUCAGUUGCAAUUAGCGUCAGCAAAACCAAUGUAAUGAAUUACAACUUUCAACAACGGAUCUCUUGGUUCUGGCAUCGAUGAAGAACGCAGCGAAAUGCGAUAAGUAGUGUGAAUUGCAGAAUUCAGUGAAUCAUCGAAUCUUUGAACGCACAUUGCGCCCUUUGGUAUUCCAAAGGGCAUGCCUGUUCGAGCGUCAUUUGUACCCUCAAGCUUUGCUUGGUGUUGGGCGUCUUUGUCUCUGGGAGACUCGCCUUAAAAUCAUUGGCAGCCGGCCUACUGGUUUCGGAGCGCAGCACAUUCUUUUGCGCUCUUGUCCAGCCGCGGUCGCGCGUCCAUGAAGCAGUUUUUUUUCAAACCUUUUGACCUUGGGUCAGU